CCGGCCCGGCCUCCCCCAUCCCGGCCGGACCCACACCCCGGGCGGCGGCGGCGGCCCCGCCCCGGAAGCGCGCGGGGCGGGCGGCCCAGGCCCCGCCCCCGGGUGGCGGCGGCAGCUCCCGGGCCCCGCUGUCCCCUCCCGGGCCGGGCCCCGCUGUCCCCUCCCGGGCCGGGCCCCGCUGUCCCCUCCCGGGCCGGGCCCCGCUGUCCCCUCCCGGGCCGGGCCCCGCGGUCCUUCCCCCGUCCCGGGCGCUGUGUCCGUGCCUCCCACCGGCGCCAGGUGCCUUGAGAGAAGCGCUCGCCGGCCGGCCGGGUACGGGGCAAAGCUCACCUGAGCGCAGCAAACACACCCGUCACUGCCCGCCCUCCGCUUACCUCCAGCGUCUGUCACCACCAGCUGCCACGGCUGGAGGAACACAGCUCGACAGCCGAACAUCGCCUUCCUCCUGGUGCCCUGCAGGUCCACCACCAAAAUGACACACAGACAGUACAUCCCAAGUUGCUGCCCUGCUUCCAAGGAAAACCAUUCAUCAGGACUGUCAGGGCAACCCUAAAGAGAAAGUAAGAUACACAACCUUGCUCCUUGACGACUCUCCAGAGCUCGUCAGCAGAAGCAAACAAACACAGGACAAUAUGUGUUGCUUUCUACAUAUGCCUCUUCCAAACCAAUGCAAUUUUAUAUUCUCUUCCCACUAAGGAAGCAGGAUCAUCCAAUACAGUGCAACACUACAACAGCCUUAUUAAGGUCAAUGGCAUACAACAAAUUGAAGAUACCAGUUUUCUAAUACAAGGGGAAAAAAACCUGAAGUACUCAAAACAUCACUGUCAGGAGUGUACUUCCUGAUCCUGAAACCUCAGAGCAUGUGUUGAUGGAGAGAGAGGUGGUACCCUUACUUCUUGAUGCAAUUGGUCAUAAGAAGAUGGACAUCCUGUCUCUCAUCCAGCAGCAACAUGGCACCUAAAUACCCAAUGCGCUUGUCUGUGAAUUUCUGAGAGGCAAUGAGCUUGAGGCACUCCAACUGGAAAAAAAAAAAGAAAAAAGAGGAAAAAAAAAAAAGACAAUUAGCUUAAAACUACUUCUUAGCUAGAGGAGAAACAGUUUGAAUUUUGAUGCAUACUAAUAUAGGUCUCUUGGAAUGCAUUGUUGAAAGUGUAUUUGAUUCCCAUUUUGGUGAUGUGGAAAACCAAGAAAAGUUAAAUGACCUGCCCAAAGUUCCCAGCAAGCCAGCAGGAAGGUCACUAGCAGCUCCUGUGUCUUGGUCAGACACUGUUGGCCUUCCAUGACCUCAGACAUACUAGAUAUGUGGGUUUAUGUCACAUCACAAAAGUAAACGAUAACAUAUUGAUAGAGAUCAUAGAUCCAUCACUAAAAACAAAAUUGUAAAGAUCUAGAAAUCUAGAUUUUGUUGACUCUGCACCAGAAACUUCUGAACCAGACUUAAGAGCCUCUAUUUAUCUACCAGAGAGAGGAUCAAUGCUCUGUAAGUUGGCAAAACAAGGGCAUGUAGUGAUAGGAAAAGAGGCAAUGGCUUCAAAUGAAAAAAGAGCAGGUUUAGGUUAGUUAUUAGGAAGAAAUUCUUGCCUGUGAGGGUGCUCAGGCCCUGGCACAGGUUCCCCAUAGAAGCUGUGGCUGCUCCACCCCUUGAAGUGUUCAAGGCCAGGUUGGACGGGGCUUGGAGCAACCUGGUCUAGUAGAAGGUGUCCCUACCCAUGGCAGUUGGAACUAGACGACCUUUACGGUCCCUUUCAACUCAGACCAUUCUAGGAUUCUAUGAUUCUAAAAACAAGUUUUGUUAUUAUGAUCUGUAACUCACUUGCUACCUAGGUAAACCAGAGACUGUCAGAGAUAGUUAAGUUUCUGCAUUGCUCUUUAAUCUCUGCUGGAACACCAGAAGUCUACUAAAAUCACGUGCACUGUAGCCACUACAAACUUCCCUUCACUGUGUAGAAACAGCAACUGUGUCCAAUAGCAUAGAGGAAAUCCCAAAAACAACACACAUAGCUGCCACUUGCACUCUGCUGAUUAAGAAUUUAAUUGCUAACCCAUUUUUAAACUUAGCACUGAAAAAAAAAAAAACAAACAACCCAAACCAAAACAGAGAUAUUCUGACAUUACUAUGCACCAAAAUAUUUUUCUAUAACAGAAAACUAACCAAGUAUAAUCAACAUCUACUUUCCAGACAGGAAAGUAAAGACCUCUCCCUCACAAACAGUUCCUGUAAGUCUGCUUUACAAACUAGCUGGGGCAGCAAGUAGGUGUACAUGAUGAGUUUGAGGAGGGGUCAGACAGAGCUGGCAACAGAUCCAUUGCAAAGGAAGUAAAGGAGGCAUGCACAGGCAGAGAUACAGGGUGUUGGGAAAAGGGAUUCACGGCCCCAGCUAGACGGAAGCUUGAACAGGGCAACGGGCACAGGAGAGAUGCAAGAAGCACACACAUCACAAGGGGGAAGUUGCACAGGACACUGGUAAGAAAAUGAAAGUUGAAGCACCAUAGAAAGUGCUAUGGCCUCAUCACUGCUAAGUUCUCACAACCAUGUGGCAUCAGAACACACACUCAACUGGGCAAGUUGUUGUCAUGUGCGAACGCCCAGCUAGUGCAGGGUGACAAACCAGUAAGAAAAAGCUUGAAAGCAAGCAAGUUCAGUUUGCUAGGUUUAAAGGGGAUGAAAACCUAGAAUAAACACCUCUGAACAAUAAGACCAGUCAUGCACAAAGAUAACUGAAUUUGCACAAAUGGGUAAGAUCAACCAGGGAUAAGGUACAGAACACUAGAUAUCGAGCUCUCAUCUUUCCUGUGCUUUCUGUAAGAGAAUAAUGCACCUGUGAAUCAACUUUUUUUCCUGGCUUUACAAGAUACUUUCUUAUACAAUCCUCUGCAAAAAUGCAAUGUAAAAUUGAUGACAUCUAAGCUACAGUAUGAGAGCCAACAAAGGCAGAAGAUGAAUGACUGAGGAAGAACAUAAGAAAACUGAUGACUGCAACAGAUACUCUAAGAUAUAUUUCAAGUACUUUUGAAUUUAAAAGAUAUUAGUGAAGUUUA